rnacentral:rRNA from 1 species
GACGUAGGGCGCAAGCGUUGUCCGGAUUUAUUGGGCGUAAAGAGCUCGUAGGCGGCUUGUCGCGUCGACUGCGAAAUCCCGCGGCUCAACUGCGGGUCUGCAGUCGAUACGGGCAGGCUAGAGUUCGGUAGGGGAGACUGGAAUUCCUGGUGUAGCGGUGAAAUGCGCAGAUAUCAGGAGGAACACCGGUGGCGAAGGCGGGUCUCUGGGCCGAUACUGACGCUGAGGAGCGAAAGCGUGGGGAGCGAACAGG